CUUUUUAUUCUGCUGUUUUUCUAAGGAGCUCAAACUGGUGUUCACAAUUGAUUGGCACCAACAGCGUACUUUCAAAGGGGAUACUCAUGCACCCACCAGCUGACUGGUGCCAAGAGGAGACAGUGUGAAAUUGUUAACUGAUGUCAUAAUGACAUUAUGUGAAUGACAGGAGACCUAGCAGGAGACCUGCAAAAGAGCUCGCGUUCACACUGUAUCUGGAAAAGGCUGCUGUCGGAAAUGCUGGAGAACUUCUGCUUUGACAGCACUGAGCUAGAGGAAUCAAUGGCAUGAGUUGGUAGGACAUAAUCCCAGCUCACCACAGAAAAUGGCAGACUCUUCCAGCUAUCACCUGAGAACUUUCCUCUCCUCUCCCAGUGUCUCACCCUGGGAGA